CCGGGCGACCGGCGCACGGGUGAGUAACACGUAUGCAACCUGGCCGUGACAGAUGGAUAACCGGGAGAAAUCCCGCCUAAUACAACAUAAUGCCGGGAGGGGACAUCCCCUGCCGGUCAAAGGGGGCGACCCCGGUCAUGGAUGGGCAUGCGGCGCAUUAGGUAGUUGGUGGGGGCAACGGCCCACCAAGCCGACGAUGCGUAGGGGUUCUGAGAGGAAGGUCCCCCACAUUGGAACUGAGACACGGUCCAAACUCCUACGGAAGGCAGCAG
rnacentral:rRNA from 1 species